rnacentral:misc_RNA from 1 species
AACAUUUGGAUAAUCGAGCACAAGGGCGUUCACAGGAUAUAGGAAGCCAAUGAUAGAAGUUACAACAAAUGAAAAAGGCUAAUACAACUUUUACUUAGUUGAGCACUGGGAGUCGAGCCAUCUAGUAAUAUCAUCAAAGAUAGCAAAAAUUCUGUCAUCAGGUUCCCCUUCAAGAAUGGAGUGAUAACCUCCUUCAUAGAGCUUCAGCGUUUUAUCUUUGCUAGAGGCCUUCUGGUAGAGAAACUGGCUCACCAUAGGAUCUGUCACCUUGUCAGCAGCUCCAUGGAGAAUCAAUAAUGGAGAUGAAACCUUGUCCAGUUUUGCCUCAAUAUCCUCUGUAGCCUUCAGGAGUUCCACGGCAGUUUUUAGUCGCAUUCGAUCGUUGUAACAGAUUACAUUGUACUCUGCCACUUUUCUCGACUUCAGGUCUCUGAAGCCCAGCUCUGCUAGAUCUCUCUGAGGGAGAAGCUUUGCUUUUGGCAUGACUCUGGACAAAAGUAUUAAUGCCUUCAAAACUGGUGGUGGCGGUUUCACAUCCUCUGCAAUUCUGCACAUUGCAGCUACAAGUAUUACUCCAUCCCAUGCAUGUGCUUCCUUUAGGUGAACUUUGAGGGCCACAGCUCCACCCAUCGACUGCCCCAGUAAGAAGCAAGGCAAUCCUUUUAAUUCAGGUCUUCCUUUAAUUUUUGCAUAUCGUUCAAUGAUGUUGUCAACCAAUCCGUCAAAGCUUGGGAUGUAACCAUGCAAUCCUUCAGAUAAACCAAAACCAGGAUGGUCCAAAGCAUAAACCACAUAUCCAGCUACAGCAAUUCGCUUUGCAAUACCUUCAAAGAAGAAAGUGCAAGUAUCCCCAUAUCCAUGGCAAAAAAACACAGCACCUUUAAUUUUCACACCUGAUGGAGGCGUCCAGCUUUUCAAAAAAAUUUCUGUACCUCUUGAAUUCCUUUCAUACCACUCCUCUGUUCUAAUCCCUGUAGGAGCCAACUUAAACAGAGGAUGGUCAAGCUGCUGUUGCACCUGAGUGAAUGCCGAUCGAACCCUUCUGCGAGCCGGCGCAUGAUCCAAAUUCUGCGAUGCAAUCAAAUUGAGCUCUUGACUAAGACCAUCAAGGGGCUUGCUUAACUUGGCCAUAACAGUUAGGUGGGGAUUUCCAGAUGAUGUUGAAAUAGUUCUAGACUUGAGUUUCAAACUAGGUGGAGUAACAAUGGGUAGUUGGUGUUUAAGUGGAUGGUUGAUCGGAGAGUGAAAUUUCCGGCGAGUAAGAGAAAAGCUGGACGGCGUUAAUCCAAGUUUAAGAGAAAAAUCCAUAGCAAAAAAUAGGGAACAGGAGAGAGAAAUCAAAAGGAGAAAUGGGUUUGAAGGAUGAAGCAAUUGGUGGAUAUAGCCGGCCAAUUAGAGUAGUGGAUGGCACAUGGUUCAAUGGCUACUGGUCCUUAAGCACUAUUUAUAUAAUUUUUUUUUUUUCG